ACGGGUGAGUAACACGUGGGCAACCUGCCUGUAAGACUGGGAUAACUUCGGGAAACCGGAGCUAAUACCGGAUAACAUAUGAGACCACAUGGUCUCGUGUUAAAAGAUGGCUUUUAGCUAUCACUUACAGAUGGGCCCGCGGCGCAUUAGCUAGUUGGUGAGGUAACGGCUCACCAAGGCGACGAUGCGUAGCCGACCUGAGAGGGUGAUCGGCCACACUGGGACUGAGACACGGCCCAGACUCCUACGGGAGGCAGCAGUAGGGAAUCUUCCGCAAUGGACGAAAGUCUGACGGAGCAACGCCGCGUGAGCGAAGAAGGUCUUCGGAUCGUAAAGCUCUGUUGUUAGGGAAGAACAAGUAUCGUUCGAAUAGGGCGGUACCUUGACGGUACCUAACCAGAAAGCCACGGCUAACUACGUGCCAGCAGCCGCGGUAAUACGUAGGUGGCAAGCGUUAUCCGGAAUUAUUGGGCGUAAAGCGCGCGCAGGCGGUCCUUUAAGUCUGAUGUGAAAGCCCACGGCUCAACCGUGGAGGGUCAUUGGAAACUGGGGGACUUGAGUGCAGAAGAGGAGAGCGGAAUUCCACGUGUAGCGGUGAAAUGCGUAGAGAUGUGGAGGAACACCAGUGGCGAAGGCGGCUCUCUGGUCUGUAACUGACGCUGAGGCGCGAAAGCGUGGGGAGCGAACAGGAUUAGAUACCCUGGUAGUCCACGCCGUAAACGAUGAGUGCUAAGUGUUAGAGGGUUUCCGCCCUUUAGUGCUGCAGCAAACGCAUUAAGCACUCCGCCUGGGGAGUACGGUCGCAAGACUGAAACUCAAAGGAAUUGACG
rnacentral:rRNA from 1 species